rnacentral:rRNA from 1 species
UACAGAGGGUGCGAGCGUUACUCGGAAUUACUGGGCGUAAAGCGCGCGUAGGCGGCUUUGCAAGUCGGGUGUGAAAUCCCCAGGCUUAACCUGGGAACUGCAUUCGAGACUGCAUUGCUAGAGUAUGGGAGAGGGAAGUGGAAUUUCCGGUGUAGCGGUGAAAUGCGUAGAUAUCGGAAGGAACACCAGUGGCGAAGGCGGCUUCCUGGCCUGUUCUUGACGCUGAGGCGCGAAAGCUAGGGGGGCAAACGGG